rnacentral:rRNA from 1 species
UACGGGGGGGGCAAGCGUUGUUCGGAAUUACUGGGCGUAAAGGGCUCGUAGGCGGCCAACUAAGUCAGACGUGAAAUCCCUCGGCUUAACCGGGGAACUGCGUCUGAUACUGGAUGGCUUGAGAUUGGGAGAGGGAUGCGGAACUCCUGGUGUAGCGGUGAAAUGCGCAGAUAUCAGGAGGAAUACCGGUGGUGUAGACGGCUCUCUGGACCGUAACUGACACUGAGACACGAAAGCGUGGGUAGCAAACAGG